rnacentral:rRNA from 1 species
GACGAACGCUGGCGGCGUGCUUAACACAUGCAAGUCGAACGGAAAGGCCCUGCUUUUGUGGGGUGCUCGAGUGGCGAACGGGUGAGUAACACGUGAGUAACCUGCCCUUGACUUUGGGAUAACUUCAGGAAACUGGGGCUAAUACCGGAUAGGAGCUCCUGCUGCAUGGUGGGGGUUGGAAAGUUUCGGCGGUUGGGGAUGGACGCGCGGCUUAUCAGCUUGUUGGUGGGGUAGUGGCUUACCAAGGCUUUGACGGGUAGCCGGCCUGAGAGGGUGACCGGCCACAUUGGGACUGGGAUACGGCCCAGACGCCUACGGGAGGAAGGAGUGGGGAAUAGUGCAAAAUGGGCGGAAGCCUGAUGCAGCAACGCCGCGUGCGGGAGGACGGCCUUCGGGUUGUAAACCGCUUUCGCCUGUGACGAAGCGUGAGUGACGGUAAUGGGUAAAGAAGCACCGGCUAACUACGU